GUGCUCACUUCAGCAGCACAUAUACUAAAAUUGGAGUGAUACAGAUAAGAUUAGCCUGGCCCCUGUGUAAAGUAAUAGAUAUGUAAAAGAGCAUGGUAAUGCAAUAAA